CAGUCGCCACGGUAAUACGAGGGGGGCAAGCGUUGUUCGGAAUUAUUGGGCGUAAAGGGCGCGUAGGCGGUUUGGCAAGUUUGGUGUGAAAUCUUCGGGCUCAACUCGAAGUCUGCACCGAAAACUGCCGGGCUUGAGUAUGGGAGAGGUGAGUGGAAUUUCCGGUGUAGCGGUGAAAUGCGUAGAUAUCGGAAGGAACACCUGUGGCGAAAGCGGCUCACUGGACCAUUACUGACGCUGAGGCGCGAAAGCUAGGGGAGCAAACAGGAUUAGAUACCCCUGUAGUCCCUGUCUCUUAUAA
rnacentral:rRNA from 1 species